rnacentral:tRNA from 1 species
UGUUUUAAUAGUUUAAAUGAAAAAUAUUAAUUUUGUAAAUUAAAGUUGGAAAAUUCUUUAAAACAUC